AGAAAGGACCCAAAUAAUUAAAAUCACGAAUAAGAGGAAAGAUCAUAACCACCACCACGGAAAUACAAACAAUUAUAAGAGAAUAUUAUGAAAAGUUAUAUGCCAACAAACUGGGCAAUCUGGAAGAAAUGGUCAAAUUCCUAUACAAACUACCGAAACUGAAACAGGAAGAAAGAAAAUUUGAACAGACCCAUAACCAGCAAAGAAACUGAAUCAGUAAUUAAAAUCUCCCAACAAACAAAAGUCCAGGGCCAGAUGGCUUCACAGGUGAAUUCUACCAGAUAUUUAAAGAAGAGUUAAUACCUAUUCUCAAACUGUUCCAAAAAAUAGAAAUGGAAGGAGAACUUCCAAACUCAUUCUACAAGGCCAGCAUUACCUUGAUUCCAAAACCAAAGACCCCACUAAAAAAGGAGAAUUACAGGUCAAUAUCCCUGAUGAAUAUGGAUGAAAAGAAUUCUCAAGAAGAUACUAGCAGAUCGAACCCAACAGUACAUUAAAAGAAUUAUUCUCCACAAUCAAAUGAGAUUUAUUCCUGGGCUGCAGGGGUGGUUCAGUAUUUGCAAAUCAAUUAGUGUGACACAUCACAUUAAUAAAAGAAACGAUAAGAACCAUAUGAUCCUCUUAAUAGAUGUAUAAAAAGGAUUUGACAAAAUACGGCACCUAUUCUUGAUAAAAAACCCUCAACAAAGUAGGUAUAGAUGGAACAUACCUCAACAUCAUAAAGGCCAUAUAUGAAAGACUCACAGCUAAUAUCAUCUUCAAUGGAGAAAAACUGAGAGCUUUUCCUUUAUGGUUAAGAACAAGACAGAAAUAUCCACUCUCACCGUUACUAUUUAACAUAGUAUUAGAAGUCUUAGCCUCAGUAAUCAGACAACAAAAAGAAAUAAAAGGCAUCCAAAUCAGCAAGGAAGAAGUCAAACUUUCACAACUUGCAGACAGCAUGAUACUCUAUGUAGAAAACCCAAAGAUCCCACCAAAAAAUUGCUUGAACUAAUACAUGAAUUCAGCAAAGUCGCAGGAUAUAAAAUCAGUGUACAGAAAUCUGUUGCAUUUCUACAUACCAAUAAUGAAGCCCCCACAGGAAAAAAAAAUCAAGGAAUUGAUCCCAUUUACAACUGCAUAAAAAACCAUUAAGAUACCUAGGUAUAAACCUAACCAAAGAGGUCAAAGGUCUGUACUCUGAAAACUGUAGAACACAUAUGAAAAAAAUUGAAGAGGACGCAAAGAAAUGGAAAAACAUGCCAUGCUCACGGAUUGGAAGAACAAACAUUGUGAAAAUGUCGGUACUACCCAAAGCAAUCUACACAUUUAAUGCAAUCCCAAUCCCUAUCAAAAUACCACCAGCAUUUUUCACAGAGCUAGAACAAACAAUCCUAGAAUUUGUAUGGAACCACAAAAGUCCCUGAUAGCUAAAGUAAUCCUGGAAAAGAAAAAGCAAAGCUGGAGGCAUCACGAUUCUGGGCUUCCAGUUGUAUUACAAAGCUGUAGUGAUUAGGACAGUAUGGUACUGGCACAAAAACAGAUACAUAGAUCAAUGGAACAGAAUAGAGAACCCAGAAAUGGACCCUCAAUUCUAUGCUCAACUAAUCUUUGACAAAGCAGGAAAGAAUAUUCAAUGGAAAAAGACAGUCUCUUCAACAAAUGGUGUUGGGUAAACUGGACAGCAACAUGCAGAAGAAUGAAACUGGGCCACUUCCUUACACCAUACACAAAAAUAAAUUCAAAAUGGGUGAGAGACCUAAAUGUGAGACAGGAAUCCAUCAGAAUCCUAGAAGAGAACACAGGCAGAAACCUCUUUGGCCUCAGCCAUAGCAACUUCUUACUAGACAAAACGAAGUCAACCACAAGAAAAAAGGGAAGGCAAGGAAAACAAAAGCGAAAAUGAACUGUUGGGACUUCAUCAAGAUAAAAAGCUUCUGCACAGCAAAGGAAACAACCAACAAAACUAAAAGGCAACCUACGGAAUGGGAGAAGAUAUUUGCAAAUGACGUAUCUGAUAAAGGAGGACACAACUGGAAGUCAAGAGGUAAAUAUGUAAUAAUUCAGAUGAAGCCAGAUCUAUAAGGGCAUUAUCUCUGAAAGCCUUACAACAACCCCGUGAGGCACGUCCAUGCUGCAGAGGGGAGACUGAGGCACAAGAAAUGAAGACAUGUCCACACAAAGACCUAUACAUAGAAGCUCUACUCACGGUAGCCCCAAACUGCAAACAAUCCAAAUAUCUAUCAGCAGGUGAAUGAGUAAACUGUGCUGUACCCAUAUGAUGGAAUACUACUCCAUAAUCAAGAAGAAUGAACUACUUAUACCUGCAACAAUGUGGACGAACCUCCAAAACACUAGGCUGAGUGAGGAAGGCAACAUAAAAGAACAUAUAGACUUUCUCCUUCAACUGGUUUAACAGAAUAAGAGUCCUCUGAGGCCGCAGGCCCACCCCUAAAUGAAGAGAUGAUCUGAACCCUUGAAGAUGAAGAAGCCUCUAAAUUCCAGCAAUCUCCACGUCCACCCAAGGUGGAGAGAGGGGCAACUGGAAGGAAAGAAUCAGGGUUGAUUUGACCCAUCCUCUGGACUCUGCAUUGAGCCUUCAUAACCUAACAAGAUCUCCUUUGAGGAAAUGCAUGAACGAGAUUAAGAAGUAAAAAAAAAUCAGAAAAUCCGGAGACGAGAAGCAGCAGCUGUGACUUCUCCCCACCUUGAGUCCCGCACCCUAAAGAUGAGGAAAUGGGAGGCUUAGAAAGAUCAUCGCUUGCCCAAGGCCACACACAGUUGGUUCUGAGCGCAGACCCGGUGGCCUCCGCCGGCGCGGAGAACACUGCCCCCUGCUGGGCCUUUUGAGAAUGUCAGCGGACCCUGUCCAUCAACGCUCGUCCCAAACUUCCCCAGUGUCCUGGCCGGUCCUCCCGAAGAACAGAACAAAACAAACGCCCCCCAACACGCAUGCGCACCAGGAAUUCCGACCACAAGGUGUCCAGAACUACAGUCGACACGCUGGAGGAGAAAGGCUACAGGGAUUGUUUUUUUCUUGGGCCCUUGGAGGCCACUUUGUCUUCAGCACUACUAUCCGCUGUUUCUGGCCUUUCGAUUUUAAGCCACCGAUUGAGGCUCAGAUGUGAUUUCACAGCACAGGGGGAAAAACACCUUAGACAUUUACUGACGCAAAACAGAACAAAACAUGGAAAGGCUGAGGGAAAAGCGGAGGGGCAGGGGUGGGUGUGGAGCAGGGGCUGUGAGAGGGCUGACAACUUCUCUCAGGAAACUCUUAGCCAAACAUCUGCUAAGGUGCGAGAGCGCGUGUGCGAGAAGAGCGGAGGAGGGGAGACAGGGGAAGGCGAGAGAAAGUGGGAAUCAAGUUCCGUGGAGCUGGGAAAUGACCUCUGGAACCGUUCUUCCUUCCGCAAAUGCUUUCUCGGUGCUAGAUGUGGGGUGGAGCUGGAAGCAGAGCCCAGAUGCUACUCCUCUGGAAGGGCAACUCAGGGCCUGCUCCUUGGAGGCUCAAAGCCUUGCAGGGUUGAACCCGAGCCCCAGACCUGGAUAGGCUUCAUCCAACAUCCCCCUGGCGUUUGUGACAAUGGGCAGCACCCCGUUCAUAUUCAAGUUUCUCCUUUGUUCACAGCAGUGCAGUCUGUUUAAACAUGGAGUGGAAAUGGGUACGUGUUUCCAGCUACUGUUUAGGGGGAGAUGUCGUGUUUCGGAGCAUCCCAGUUUCAGAGUCCUUUAACCAGAACAUUGUCAGAUGUGUCCUCAAGAACGAAUGAAAUUAUGUUCUGUGUAAAAUAUAAAACAAGAGCAUAUCUUAUCACCACAAAAGCAGUUAACUGUGUCUUAUACUCAUUGUGGACAGACUAAAGGCCCCCUUCACAUCCAACCAAUAAGGUCUCAGCCAUGCCCAGCUCCAGCCAGCAGAGUUCAGUGACUGAAUCGUGGGCUUAGCCACUGCCAUUUUAUAAGCAAGUCAGAUUAAUUGAGAAAGCAAAUCAUUUGUGUCUGCUAACAGAAAUUAAACAAAACAUGAGAUUACAACAUUAUGAGAGUGAAAAUAUUGAAUCAGGUCAUUUGAAGAUAAAGCAACUUGCUGAUGUGUGACUUCAGCCUUGGGUAGUUAUAAUAAAAAUGAGGGGUGGGGUGGGUCAUAUUGUCUGCAAGUUCAUUAGGAGGUAUGUGGUGUGUGCUUUAUUUCUAUGCCAGUCUAAAACCAAAGAAACAGGGGUGCCUGGGUGGCUCAGUCAAUUGAGCGUCUGCCUUCGGCUCAGGUCAUGAUCCCAGAUCCCUGGGGUUGAGCCCUUGUCGGCUCCCUGCCGAGUGGGAACCUUGCUUCUCCCUCUCCCUCUGCCUCUCCCCUCUGCUUGUUCUCUCUCUCAAAUAAAUAAAUAAAAUCUUAAAAAAAAAACACAACAAUAACAACCAUAGAAACAUAAACAUAGUUUGGAUGAUCUUUAUGUCCACUGUGGAGCAGGAUUCCACCAUGCAAUUUCAAGGUGACAUUUUGCAUGUGCUUUAUGAUCACCUUGGGGCCAAGUGAUUAUCCAAAGUAAUAGAGUGUGACUAUUAAUGCAGCUUUUUUCCAACUAGAGCAUUCUGAACGACUCCUCAAGUUAUAUUAGCUAAAUACUGUCUUAAGAUGGAGAACUUUAGAGUUCCUUGCACCAUAGUGAAGUGACAGGGUAAGUCCAUGAAUGUUAAAAUCUCAGUGUAGUGUAUGGAAGAACCCUCUGCAUUCCCUAAAACUUCUUUCUUUUUCAUCCCGGACACUUCUUUGCCCUUUGAUGUGGCCAUAUUGACUGAGUUCUGACCAAUAAACUGUAAGUGAGAGAGGCCAAAAUAGGUAAGAAAUGGGUCAAUAUCACUGAAGAGUCAGUAUACAAAAGUCACUUGUGUUUCUUUAUACUAGCAACAAACAAUUUGAAAGUGAAAUUUCAAAAAAGCAGUUCCAUUAUCAAUAAUACCAAAAAAAAAAAAAAAUCACCUGAGAAGAAAUGUAACAAAAGAUGUGCAACACCUGUGUACAGAAAACUACAAAACAUUACCAAAAGAAAUUAAAGAAGGGAGAAUAAAAAAAAAAAGAGUUAUAUACCACGUUCAUGGAUUGGAAAAAUUUUGUGCAGCUGUUAACUCUCCCCAAUGUUAUCUGUAGAUCCAAUUCAAUUCCAAGCAAGAUCCCUACAGACUUAAAUGUGUGCAUGUAAAAACGAACAAGCAAAUUCUGAAAUGUCAAGUGCCACAACAGCAAAGACAAUCUUGAGUAAGGACAAAGUUAGAGGAUGCAAAUUACUGAUUUUUAAGCUACCCUAAUCAAAACUAUGCAGUAUCAGUGGAAGGAUAGAAAAUUGACCAAAAUAAUAAAAUAAAGUCCCCAAAUUGACCCCCACAUAUAUAAUCACUUGAUCUGCAACAAAGGUACAUUGCAAUACAGCAGGGAAAGGAUGGUCUUUUCAGUAAAUGUUGCUGAUUCAAGGGAUAUUCAAAUGGGAAAACCUUGACUCCUACAUCAUACAAAACACAAAAGUAAAUUACAGCUAAAUUAUGGGCCUAAAUGUGAAAGGUAAAACAAAAAAGCUUCCAAAAGAUAACAAAGGGAACAUAGAAGAAUAUCUUCAUGACCUUAGGAUAGGCAAAGAUUUCUUUAACUGGACACAAAAAUACUACCCCUAAAAGAAAAGAUGAAUACUCCAUAUCUCGUUAAAAUUUAAAACUUUUGUUUAUUAAAAAAAACAUAAGAGAGCAAAACUGCAAGCCACAAUUCAUAAAGUAACAAAAAAUUCAUAUCCUGAAUAAGAAAAAGACAGAUUACCUAAAAGAAAAGUAGGCCAAAGACUUGAAUGGAAAAUUCUCAAAAAAGAAGAUUGAAGUGGCCAAUGAGCCUUUUAAAGGGUGCUCAAAGGGGCACCUGGGUGGCUCAGUCAUUAAGUGUCUGCCUUCAGCUCAAGUCAUGAUCCCAGGGUCCUGGGAUCAAGCACGGCAUCAGGCUCCCUGCUCAGUGGGAAGCCUGCUUCUCCCUCUCCCACUCCCCCUGCUUGUGUUCCCUCUCUUGCUGUGUCUCUCUCUGUCAAAUAAAUAAAUAAAAUCCUUAAAAAGAAAUGCUCAAAUUACAUUAGUCAUUAGAAAAAUGCACAUUGAGGGGUGCCUGGGUGGCUCAGUCGUUAAGCGUCUGCCUUCGGCUCAGGUCAUGAUCCCAGGGCCCUGGGAUUGAGCCCCACAUCGGGCUCCCUGCUCCGCGGGAAGCCUGCUUCUCCCUCUCCCACUCCCCCUGCUUGUGUUCCCUCUCUCACUGUGUCUCUGUCUGUCAAGUACAUAAGUAAAAUCUUAAAAAAAAAAAAAAAAAAGAAAGAAAAAUGCACAUUAAAACCACAGUGAGAAAAUCAACCAACGAACCAGUCAAUCAAUCCAUGAGGAGAUACCACAGCACUCACACCAGAAUGGCUAAAUGAGAAAGAUGACAAUACCAAAUGUUUGCAGGGAUAUGGAGCCACUGGGUGUCUCAUGCAAUGCUGGCAGACAUGUACCUUUGCAUAACCACUUUGGAAAAGUAUUUGGCAACAUCCACUGAAGUUUUACCUAUGCAUGCUCUCCGACCCAGCAUUUCUACCACUAGGUACAUUCCCAACAGAAAUGUAUAGAUAUGUGCACCUAAAGGUACAUUCGUAAUAGUUUUGUUGAUAAUAGUCCCAAACUGAAAACAGUGCAAAUGCCCAUCAGCAGUAGAGUGGAUAAAUUGUGGUGUAAUCACGUAAUAGAGUAUAUUACACAGCAACAAAAGAGAAUGAACUAUUGUUUCAAGGCAUAAUAUGGAGGAAUUUCACAGACAUGCUGUUGUACAGUAGGAGUGGGUGUACCUUGCCUAUGCUCUCUUUCCUCAUCUGCCAACUAAAUAACAAGGACUCCAAGGACCUCAAAGGGGGUGGGGCUGCAAAAUAGAGCUUAGGGAGCCCUGAAUGAUCAUGCGAAUGCUUAGCUGGCCAGGAUUACCCACUUAGUAUUGUGACAUGAGUGAAAAUAACGUUUUGUGUUAAGUCACUGAGAAUUUGGGGUUAAUCUGUUUCAGCAGCCAGCAUUACUUAUCCUCGGUGGUACAUAGUGCAAUUUGGAAUUAAAUGGUAACAGGCGAUACCACCAGAAUGUGCUGGAGAAGCUCAUAAGAUAGAGAGGUCACCAGGAGCUGGGGUUGUCAGGAAUGACCUCUGCCCCCUCACAAAUGGAGGGCAGGGAUUGGCUAAGUCCAGGGAGAAAUCCUUCCAGUAGGGGCAGCGGCUUGGGGGCUGAUGCUGACAGAGGGUGGAGGGAGAACAUCCCGAUCCUGCCGGCGGAAGUUGGUUAGAGGCAGCUUUUGCAGGUGUCUUUGUCAUCCACUGAAGGAUCUUGGAAGAGAAGGGUCAACAGCUAUUCUUUCCUCGGUGGAUCUGCGGCCCACAGUUUGAAAUGACAUAGUCAGUCUACACAUUCAGGGCAGUUCCAAGUGAGAUGUAUGUAAUGCCUUUUCUCUGACAACACGCUCCAUUGUCUUCUGUCUGUUUCAUAGUCAUCUACUUUUAAGAGAAUUUAUGGAACCUGAUGAAUAGCUUAGCAUUUCUUUCUUUGAACUCCCAGAUGUUCCGACCAGAUUCCAACUUCCAGUCAGUGUUCCCAGCCCUUCACCAGAGCUGUUGGGUAAUGUUCUAAUCCUCCCUGGGACAUUCCUAUUUCCUGCUGAGAAAUAAGAAAACAACAAUGCCUCCCAAAGGCUGGUAGGCCUCAGCCCUGAGGCCUGGAAUCUCCAUUUUAGGAAAAGUGUUUCCAAGGGUAUAAAGCUCUGAAAGGAAAUGGGCCUGUGAGCCUCCUGGGAAAGAAUAUGAGAACCCAUCAUAAGGAUUUCGCUGCAUUCCUCAGCAGUACGGGGCUGCCUGAAGUUCAUUUCGAUUAAAAAAUAUAUCAAAGUGAAAGUGGGUGUGUGAGUGGGUGUGUGAAACAGAUCUGAGAAACAGACAAGCAAAAGUAAAGGAAGUGAGGGAGGUAAGGACAGAAGUCAAAGGCAAAUAGUUUUCUUUCUUUGCAAAAAGACCUCUUCAGUGCCUUCGUUUUUUUUUUUUUAUUAUGGAGAUAUUCAAACAUACACAAAAAUAGAGAAAUAGUGUAAUGAAUCACUAUGUUCCUGUCAUCUGACUUCAACAAUAUCAACAUUUCGUUGGUCUUUUUCACCUUUCUGCUCUUCUCUGUUUUUUUUUUUUUUUUUUUUUUGCACUUCAGCUGGAAUUGGCAAACCAUGACCCCAUGAGCCAAAUCUGACUUGUCUCCUGUUUUUGAAAAUAAAGUUUCAUUGGACCACAGCCUACCUAUUCAUGCGUGCAAUAUCUAUACCUGUUUUCCCAUCACAGCAAGGCUGAGUAGUUAU